UCCCUGGUAGCUCAGACGGUAAAGCGUCUGCCUGCAGUGCGGGAGACCAGGGUUCGAUUCCUGGUUCGGGAA
rnacentral:tRNA from 1 species